rnacentral:rRNA from 1 species
AGUGAACGCUGGCGGUAGGCCUAACACAUGCAAGUCGAACGGCAGCACAGUAAGAGCUUGCUCUUACGGGUGGCGAGUGGCGGACGGGUGAGGAAUACAUCGGAAUCUACUUUUUCGGGGGGGAUAACGGAGGGAAACUUACGCUAAUACCGCAUACGACCUACGGGUGAAAGCAGGAGAUCUUCGGACCUUGCGCGAUUGAAUUAGCCGAUGUCGGAUUAGCUAGUUGGCGGGGUAAAGGCCCACCAAGGCGACGAUCCGUAGCUGGUCUGAGAGGAUGAUCAGCCACACUGGAACUGAGACACGGUCCAGACUCCUACGGGAGGCAGCAGUGGGGAAUAUUGGACAAUGGGCGCAAGCCUGAUCCAGCCAUACCGCGUGGGUGAAGAAGGUCUUCGGGUUGUAAAGCCCUUUUGUUGGGAAAGAAAAGCAGCAGGUUAAUCCCCCGCUGUUCUGACGGUACCCAAAGAAUAAGCACCGGCUAACUUCGUG